CGGGUGAGUAACACGUGAGCAACCUACCUUUCAGUGGGGGACGACAUUUGGAAACGAAUGCUAAUACCGCAUAAGACCACAGUGUCACAUGGCACAGGGGUCAAAGGAUUUAUCCGCUGAAAGAUGGGCUCGCGUCCGAUUAGCUAGAUGGUGAGGUAACGGCCCACCAUGGCGACGAUCGGUAGCCGGACUGAGAGGUUGAACGGCCACAUUGGGACUGAGACACGGCCCAGACUCCUACGGGAGGCAGCAUG
rnacentral:rRNA from 1 species